AUCCAACAUUGUAUUCUGGAAAGAAGUCCGGCGAGGGGACACCAAGAUCAGGCCAUGAUUUGUCGGGGUCUCACCAUCAAAGCUGAACCAGAAAGCAGCUCAGUGAACCCGUGCUCAUCCAGUCUUGUCUUGUACCCAGCAGUCUUCCUGCCAGUGAGACAGCGACACGCGCCAUCACAUGGGACAGUGUGUACAUGUGCAUCUAAAUAUUCAGCAAAACUAGAUUUCAAAUGACGCUUUAAAAUGUAUUGCAAAAUGUACAGCAUUUAUUCACAUACAGACAAAAAGGCACAAAUUCUACUAAAUAGUUCAACAAAAAAAUACAGCUGUCCUCAACUAGUUUUAUAAAUACUUUCAAAAAGGGGGUAGAAAUAAAUACAGGAUUGGGCCAUGUAAUAUAAAAUAGUCAUCUCUACAUAUACUUUUGUUUUUAAUUCUGAUUUUUAACUCUUCAUGCACCUUUUUUUUUUAACCCAAUUUUAGCUGAAUGGACACCAAGCUAGGCACAUAGUGAAAAAUCCUCUGUACAAGGUUACAAAUGUAAUGACAAGUUUGUCCAUGUCAAAAUAAUUAAGAUUUGUACACAACACAUAUAACCCUUCAUUUAGAUUUUGUGUUUAUAACCUAACAAAUGACAUUCCAGGCAACUUUACAAAAGUUUAACUAGCCUACAUUUUUGACAUAAUACAUUGAUCAUAAUCAAAGAUAUUUCUUGGUCAGGAUGCACACGGAAAGAUAAAGCUUUAAAAAAAGAAGAAAAGAAGAGCAAAUGGUUCCAUACUCAGAGUGCAAGUGGGCAGGUUGGGUUAGUUGCCGCUCAUAACCUCAUACAGAGUUCCCAGCAGGAGCGAAACUGACUUACAGAGCUGUCAUUACACUGUCAGAGAAACUGUACCAUUUGCAUUUCAAAGCAGGAAUUAAAGGUGUGGGCUUUUUGUGUUUGUGUGUUUUGUUUUUGUGUGGGGUUUUUUAUUUUUGUUUUGUUUUCUUUUUGGUUCAGCAUAACUUGGAACGUUUGAAAGCUUUUCAACCUAAAUGUGGGGAAAAAACAGGAACCCAUUCGUGUUGGAAGGCCGGACUCCCCAGCGUAUGCACUAGUGCUCCUCUCUGGAAACACGAGUCACCAGAGUCUGGAAGUCAUUGCUUAAACUUGAACAGCCAUUGUGUUGUUGGAAGCCAGGUGGCCAGAACACAGUCGAGAGCUGCCGGCAGCAGGACCUGGCUGCUUCCAUUCACCCUAAAUCUCCAAGCUCAGGCAGCUCUACCCUGUCCCUUCAGAUCUUCCGGUAAUGGCCUUUUUAAAACUUUUCUCUUCCCUUAUCUGCUUUAUUUACACAUGAAUUCCCUAGAAUUACUGAAGCUUCAGAGCUACUGCCUGUAUACUACAAUGCAACAAAACAGUCCGUGGGCCAAAGUAUAAAUAUGAUUUCAAGAUCACCAUAGUCCUAGAAAAUAAGUUUUAUGGGCUACUAAAUGAUACGUGAGGGUUUCCUCAAGAACCAUCUCUGAUUCCAUAUAUUCAGGUAACUAAGAGUUUGUGCUUUGGGAAGGAUACAGAGGGCAGUAAGCACUCAUGAGGCUUAGUUCAGCCUAGCCCUCUUGAGAAACUUACUUCAUCCAUUCUUAUUGUAGUGUUAAUUCAGCCUCUAGUCUUAGCAGUGUCUUAUGGUUACAAUCUACUCUUGUGUUUCCUCAACAAGUUGCAAAUAACACACUUCUCACAACAAUGAUUUAUAAAUGACUCUGAAAAAAAAUUCCAAUCAGAAUUGCAAGUAAAUGUAUUUGUGUAGCUCAGGAGUGAUGGGUUUCCGCUCGUUCCCGUGUCAGAGCUCUCGCCUCCU
ensembl:lncRNA